ensembl:lncRNA
UUUGUUAUUGUAAAUAAAAUACUCCCCUUCCUUUUCCUUCCUUCUCACCUGACGAACAAGGGAAAUACUACACUGGUGCCGAAACCCGGGAGUGGAAAGAGAAUGACGUCGCCACGAUGCAAACACCUUCAGGACCAUCGGGAUCGCCAUUUGCAGAGAUCAUCACAUCGCUCGUGGGUCUACAUCAAGAAAACCACCAAGACCUGCUGGACUUGCGGGCGGACCAGGACCAUCGGUUCCAAGCCCUGAUGCAAGCCCAGCAGGAGGACCACAAGCUGUUCCGGAGCUUGCUGGACCGGGAGGUUCAGACGAGGUCGGCUUCCCCCAGUUUCAUCCCCCCCACUCACAUGUCUCUCACCAAGAUGGGGCCCGCGGAUGACCCAGAGGCUUUCCUGGACUUGUUUGAGAGGAUGGCCGAGGCAUGUGAGUGGGCAUCGACCAGCUGGCCAGUGCGGUUGAUUCCGCUGCUGUUGGGGGAAGCCCAGAAGGCUGCCCAACAACUGCCCAUCCAAAACCUCCUAGUGUACGCAGACUUAAAAUGGGCAAUCCUCCAGAGGGUCGGCCUCAGUCCAGAACAGCACCAUCAAUGCUUCCGAUCAUUGGAAUUGACGGAAGCAGGCCGACCCUUUGUCUUGGCCCAGCAGCUCUGGGACUCGUGCCGCAAAUGGCUGUUGGCCGGAGGAAGCGAUGCCGAGGCCAUCCUCGACAAGGUGGUACUGGAGCAGUUCGUCUCCUGUCUGCCGAGGAGGAAGGCCCAGUGGGUCCAGUGCCACCAGCCGGCGUCGAUGGAUCUGGCCAUCCAACUGGCGGAGGACCAGUUGGUGGCAUGCUCCGGUGUCGGCCAACCCCUCCCAUCUAUCUCUCUCUCUCUCUCUCUCUCUCUCUCUCUCUUCCCUUGUUCCUCUUUCUUCCUCUUCCCCUAAUCCCGUUCCCAGGACCCGUUUUGCUGGCCCACCGAGGGCCGCCCCCCCGCUGGAGGAUGGGAACCGAGGCCCCGCCCGGGGAGUGGGGGCACCCCACCAGGAGGGGCUCAACGAGGCUCCUACCAUCUCCCCACGCCAAUUCCUUGACCCACUUCCUGCCACUAGGGCGGCGGGGAAGCCUGGGCCAGCCUGUUGGCUUUGCGGGGAUCUGGGCCAUUUUGUGGAUCGAUGCCCAGCCAUGGAGGUGGGGACAUUGGUCCGGAUCCCAGAUGACCUGCAGGCCGCCCCCAAUCAAGCCGGGUUAUACCAGAUACCUGUGAGUAUUAAGGGGGGUACUUAUCGGGUUUUGGUGGAUUCAGGUUGUAACCAGACCUCCAUCCAUCAAAGCCUGAUACAAUCCGGGACAUUGGCUACGGGCCGCAUGGUUAAGGUGAGGUGUGUGCACAGGGAUAUAGUGGAAUACCCCCUAAAAGCCAUAUCCAUCAAAUUUAGGGGUCAAAAGCAUUGUGUGGAGGUGGCGGUUAGCCCGCGCCACUGGCAUCCGCUAAUUUUGGGAACCAAUUAGCCGGCUUUUUAACAGUUCUUGGGAUUUUUAACAGCGGAUGUCUCUAGGAAAACGAGAUGGCAGGAAAGGGGGGCGAGCACUCAGGUUGGAGAGACUGUGCCGGGACCCAGUGGGACAGUUUCAGAGGAACCGAGCGGCUUGGCGAGGCUAAACCUCUCCAUUCGUGAUGACUUUCCCCUGGAACAAUCCCAAGACGAGACGCUCAAACAUGCAUUUGAACAGGUCCGUUCCAUCGAUGGGCAGAUCCUCCAACCUGACCGCACGCUCUCCUAUCCUUAUUUUGCCGUUAUUUAAAAACAGGUUGUAUCGAGUGACCCAAGAUGCUCAGACAAAGGAAGAUACAACCCAAUUCACCUCUCACCCUCGCAGCUCACUGACACCACACGUUUACAAAGUUUGCAGAUGUGUUUUUGCCCCUGCCUGGUCGUACUAAUCUGAUUCAGCACCAUAUUGAGACAGAGCCAGGCGUGGUGGUGCACGGACGGCCAUACAGAUUGCCUGAACCCAAAAAUGGUUCAGAUGGAAUUAGAGGCAAUGCUGGAGAUGGGAGUAAUCGAGGAGUCCCACAGUAACUGAUCGAGCCCGAUAGUUUUGGUUCCUAAAACGGACGGCUUGGUGCGGUUUUGGGUGGACUUUCGCAGGGUGAAUGCAGUGUCGAAGUUUGAUGCUUAUCCAAUGCCGCGGAUUGACGAGCUGCUCGAUGGGUUAGGUACAGCUCGUUUUUAUUCGACAUUGGACUUAACGAAAGUAUAUUGGCAGAUCCCCUUAUCUCCCAUGUCCAAAGAAAAAACGGCCUUCACCACGCCGUUUGGCUUACACCGAUUUGUGACGCUUCCUUUCAGGUUGUUCGGGGCCCCGGCCACGUUUCAGCGCCUCAUGGAUAGAGUUCUGCGGCCCCAUGCUGCCUAUUGGCAGCGGCAUCUGGAGCAUUUGAGGGCCGUCCUCGGAGCGCUGAGACAGGCGGGGCUAACGGCCAACCCAGAAGAAGUGCGCAGUUGGGCGGGUGGAGGUAAGGUAUCUAGGCUUCCACUUGGGUCAUGGGCAGGUGCAUCCCCAAAUUGACAAGACAGCAGCAAUUGCAACCUGUCCCAGGCCAAAGACCAAAAAGAAGGUGAGGCAGUUCCUGGGGCUGGCGGGAUUCUCACCAGCCCGCUGACUGACUUCACUAAAAAGGAGGUGCCAGAUAUGGUCCAGUGGACAGAGCAGUGCCAACAGGCUUUUACCCAGGUUAAGGCUGCCCUGUGUGGCGGGCCGCUCCUGCAUUCUCCUAACUUUUCUCUCCCUUUUCUGUUGCAGAUUGAUGCAUCAAACAGGGGGCUGGGCGCUGUCCUGUCCAAGGAGGUGGAGGGGGAGGACCACCCGAUGCUGUACAUUAGUCGUAAGCUCUCAAAAAGAGAGACUAAGUACAGCACCAUAGAGAAGGAGUGUUUGGCCAUCAGGUGGGCGGUACUCACCCUUCGCUAUUACCUCCUGGGGCGGGAGUUCACCCUCUGUUCAGACCACGCGCCCCUGCAGUGGCUCCACCACAUGAGGGAUGGCUCCCCAGCCUGAGUCGGGCAGUGGGGGUAUUUGGCGGGGGAGGCGUGGUUCAGCGAGGUCUGCGACGGGAGAGAGAACAGGGAGACGAGCGGCGGAUCCCUGCAAAUGUGCCGCUCCCUGUUCCCAGAUCGUCAGGAGCUCUGCCUCAAGGGGCCACAGGGUUCUACCUGCUAGUUAAUGGCAUUGCCACCUCCCUCAGCAAAGCGCAGAGACACACAGACUGCAUACAGAAGGCAGCAAGUCUGAGGUGCAAGUCCAUGGACUGCUAAUGAGACUAGAUCUACGGUGGACGUUUGACAGGAGAGGCGUGGAUGUGUCCAGCCAGUGGAACCUGGCGUCUGCUUGAAUGCCCGUCAACACUGUACGCACCCACAAAUUCACACAAAUACGCACGCAUGUAAAGGGGGGAAAAAUGCUCUUCACAGCUCUUCAGUUUCUGACAGAUUGAUCGGAGUUGCCAGAACAUUCUGUGGCUGUCAGUUUUGCAGCAACUAAAUCAUUCUCCCCAAAGAUUUAAACAUUUGAAAUUAAGAUUUUACAGAGCGAAUCAUAUGCCAAAAAACACCUAUUGCAAGUCACAUGCAUUAAACAUUCAGACGACAAUGUUUUGAUGAAUUACUGACCAUCCGUUGACCCCCUGAUGUUUUCAGUCCUCUUCUUACUAGGAACACAAUGCAUAUUUGACAUCUUUUCUAAUGAGAUUUGUCUCCUUUGACGGGAGAUAUCUGGUGCAUUUUAAAGCAAAACUUACCCACUAAACAUACCUAGUUAUAGCAUUUAUACAUUUUGCCAACAUAAACCACACAACUUACUAUAAUGCAUAACAGAUUAGUAGUUUAUUCAAACACUUAGAAAUGUCAUUAAACUUUCUUUAAAGAAUUUUUUUUCUCUCUCUAUAGACCUUUUGCAGUAUGUCCACAGACCCCUUGAUUGAAAACCCUGGCUAUACGCUGAUAAUAUUCUACCAGAAUGUCAAGAAUAUCCAUUUUUUCUGCUUUCUGGUGACAUUUUGAUGCUUGUUGUAUUUAUGUCCCUAACCAUACAGACUCAAACCUGUAUCAGGGUCUGUUUUCUCCACCCAUUCCAUUUACAUUGAAUAGGUCAUUGGAAGCCAACUAGGUGGAACUAAUUUGGCACAGAAGUGUGGAGUGACUGGGCAUAGUGUCACAUGAAGCCACUGGGAUGUAAUGAGGAAUACUUGAUUAGUGUUAAGCAAGAGAACACGGCUGUUUAAGCCAAGUGUGGAAUAGGAAUGUGCUCAGUGAUGUGUAGUUAAAGGUGUUAUUCAAUAUUUAUGUUCUUUGUAAUAGUUUUUUUUUUUUUUUAUAUCAUGAAUAUUUAAUUCAAAUUGUUUAAUUAUAUAACAAAUUUAGAUUUACAGAAUACAUGUAAAAUUCUCAUAUAAAUUCAUGUAUCGAAUGAGGCAAAAUUGAAGCUGUUUGUAGGCAUUUUAAACAUUUUAAUAUUUUCCAGAAUCAUUAUAAACAUUAUGUGCAACACUUAGCAUAAUAUAGACUGAAUAUUCAUGCACUGACCCUGUACAAAGUUGAGAGUGUUUAUUCAUGGGUCAUGAAUACUUAAGCUAUUUUCCUUCAGAUUAAUUUCCGUCUCUGUCUGUUUUGAAUGGGACCAUUACAGUUGUGAAGCUCUAAUUAAGUACUACCUUUCAAUACAGAAG